AUAUAUAUAGUUUAAAAAAAAACAUUACAUUUUCAUUGUAAAAAUAAAAUAAUUUUUUUAUAUAUA
rnacentral:tRNA from 1 species